GAGAGAGAGAGAGAGAGAGGGAAUCAAAUGAAUGGAAUUAUAUCUGUUGAAAGGCCACCACAAAACAAAUCCAACACUAAUGCUCCCACCACCAUAACUCUUCUCAUCUUUUGGUUUUAUCUUUCUUUUCCUUUACUUUCCUUCCUUGUUGUGCCUGUUAUAUACGGUCUGAUUUGCUGUUGUUUGUAUGUAUGUGUUACAUAUAUGUGGUGAAGGGAACGGAUGGGAAGGGAAAGGCGAGAGAGAGAGAGAGAGAG
rnacentral:misc_RNA from 1 species